UCUAAUACCGGAUACGACCACUGAGGGCAUCUUCGGUGGUGGAAAGCUCCGGCGGUGAAGGAUGAGCCCGCGGCCUAUCAGCUUGUUGGUGGGGUAAUGGCCUACCAAGGCGACGACGGG
rnacentral:rRNA from 1 species